rnacentral:rRNA from 1 species
UCAGUCGACUCCUACGGGGAGGCAUCAGUGGGGAAUAUUGCACAAUGGGGGAAACCCUGAUGCAGCCAUGCCGCGUGUGUGAAGAAGGCCUUCGGGUUGUAAAGCACUUUCAGUAGGGAGGAAGGUAGUGUAGUUAACACCUGCAUUAUUUGACGUUACCUACAGAAGAAGCACCGGCUAACUCCGUGCCAGCAGCCGCGGUAAUACGGAGGGUGCGAGCGUUAAUCGGAAUUACUGGGCGUAAAGCGCAUGCAGGCGGCCUGUUAAGUCAGAUGUGAAAGCCCGGGGCUUAACCUCGGAAUUGCAUUUGAAACUGGCAGGCUAGAGUCUUGUAGAGGGGGGUAGGAAUUUCAGGUGUAGCGGUGAAAUGCGUAGAGAUCUGAAGGAAUACCAGUGGCGAAGGCGGCCCCCUGGACAAAGACUGACGCUCAGAUGCGAAAGCGUGGGGAGCAAACAGGAUUAGAUACCCUGGUAG